GUGGGGGGGUUUUAUGCUGGUCUUUUUAAAAAUCAGCUCCCCUGAAAUGCAUUAGCAGAACCCAUUUGCAAGAGUGUUCAUUGGUGUGAUAACUUAUCUACGCUAUUGACAUUUGAGGGGUUCAGCUUCUAAUGGUCUAUUGACUUGGACAAUUUAUUUAUUGAUUUGACCUCAAAUCAGGUAGGACUACCCGCUGAACUUAAGCAUAUCAAUAAGCGGAGGAAAAGAAACUAACAAGGAUUCCCCUAGUAACUGCGAGUGAAGCGGGAAAAGCUCAAAUUUAAAAUCUGGCAGUCCUGGCUGUCCGAGUGUAAUCU
rnacentral:rRNA from 1 species